UGAGGAAUAUUGCCCAAUGGGGGAAACCCUGAGGCAGCAACGCCGCGUGAACGAAGACGGCCUUCGGGUUGUAAAGUUCUUUUCUGGGGGACGAUGAUGACGGUACCCCAGGAAUAAGUUCCGGCUAACUACGUGCCAGCAGCCGCGGUAAAACGUAGGGGACAAGCGUUAUCCGGAUUUACUGGGCGUAAAGCGCACGUAGGCGGUGAGGUAAGUUGGCCGUGAAAGCUCCCGGCUUAACUGGGAGAGGUCGGACAAAACUGCCCCACUUGAGGCUGAGAGAGGAGAGCGGAAUUCCCGGUGUAGUGGUGGAAUGCGUAGAUAUCGGGAGGAACACAAGUGGCGAAGGCGGCUCUCUGGCUCAGAACUGACGCUGAGGUGCGAAAGCGUGGGGAGCGAACG
rnacentral:rRNA from 1 species